CCCCAGGGACUCCCGAGCAGUGCUGAGAUGGCAAAGCAAAGGCGUGGGUGGGGGAUGGAUGUCACGUACAAGCACGUUCCUGCUGCGAGCAGAGGAGCCUGCCCUGGACACAUCUCCUUCAGGACAUGUCAGGGAUGAUUGUUCUGUGCCUUGAGCACAGUCCAGUGUGCUGGGAGGUAGCUGCAUCCUGUCGUGUCCUGCCCUGACCCUGCAUGGCUUUCACUGUCACCAGCUGUCCCUUGCUCUUGCCUUGUGAGCUAUGUGAAACAAACCAAGAUUACAGAACGGCUGGAACUGCAGAAAGCUGAGAUAAGAGCCCUACCCCUUCCUUGGUGCAGUGAGCACGAUAUGAAGGAUGAAGAGGAACUCAAGAUGCUGUCAAGAUUUCCCUUUGUACAUAUCUGAUCGGUUCAUGCCAGGUUUGGCUCCGUGCCUGUCCAGGGAAGAGCCUCUAUCAUCAGGACAAGGUGGUUCAGCACUGGCUGCAGCAAUGGAGACAGGAUUAGAAGCUGGGGUGGGGAUGGCUCCUACUCACUAAGGCAUGGGAUCUGUGAGAAAUACCAUGGGAAGACAUUGUCAGAGGUGUACCUUUUUCUGGAGAGGUGGGUAUUCCCUGGAUGUGCUGUGGCAGCUCCUUGGUUGCCAUAAAUCAGUAUAAAUGCAUUUGUUUUAGUGGAGGUGUCGUGUCUGCUGGUAGUCAGGCCCUGUGAUGUUGCUCAUUACACAGGUUUUGGGUAAGGAGCCAAGAGAUGA